rnacentral:rRNA from 1 species
GAAUAGGGGAGCCGGAGGGAAACCGAGUCUUAAUUGGGCGUUAAGUUGCAGGGUAUAGACCCGAAACCCGGUGAUCUAGCCAUGGGCAGGUUGAAGGUUGGGUAACACUAACUGGAGGACCGAACCGACUAAUGUUGAAAAAUUAGCGGAUGACCUGUGGCUGGGGGUGAAAGGCCAAUCAAACCGGGAGAUAGCUGGUUCUCCCCGAAAGCUAUUUAGGUAGCGCCUCGUGAAUUCAUCUCCGGGGGUAGA